AGUGAACGCUGGCGGUAGGCCUAACACAUGCAAGUCGAACGGCAGCACAGUAAGAGCUUGCUCUUACGGGUGGCGAGUGGCGGACGGGUGAGGAAUACAUCGGAAUCUACUUUUUCGUGGGGGAUAACGUAGGGAAACUUACGCUAAUACCGCAUACGACCUACGGGUGAAAGCAGGGGAUCUUCUGACCUUGCGCGAUUGAAUGAGCCGAUGUCGGAUUAGCUAGUUGGCGGGGUAAAGGCCCACCAAGGCGACGAUCCGUAGCUGGUCUGAGAGGAUGAUCAGCCACACUGGAACUGAGACACGGUCCAGACUCCUACGGGAGGCAGCAGUGGGGAAUAUUGGACAAUGGGCGAAAGCCUGAUCCAGCAAUACCGCGUGGGUGAAGAAGGCCUUCGGGUUGUAAAGCCCUUUUGUUGGGAAAGAAAAGCAGCAGGUUAAUACCCCGCUGUUCUGACGGUACCCAAAGAAUAGGCACCGGCUAACUUCGUG
rnacentral:rRNA from 1 species